GUGACAUGGACACAGCAUCUCUACUAUCAGAUUGGGGGAAAUUGGUAUUUGUUCUGAUAUGAACUAGUUUAGUGGCAUCUGGGUUAAAAUAGUAUAGUCCCAGAAUUGCAAACUACACCACUCAAGCAAACACAAAUGCUAAUUGAUUCCAGGUCUCGCCUCGAAAGUUUUCAAGAAACUGUUUGUGGGGAGUAAAUAAGGGGUCAUUCCAAUUUACCAGAGUACUCAUUUACACUGAGUGUACAAAACUUUAGGAACACCUGCUCUUCCCAUAACAGACUCACCAAGUGAAAGUUUCCUGUAGGUAAUCAAGAAUAGUCCUCCACCCAAAGGCCAUUCAGCCAACUUGACACAACUGUGGGAAGCAUUGAAGUCAACAUGGGCCAGCAUCCCUGUGGAACACUUUCGACACCUUGUGGAGUCCAUGCCCUGACGAAUUGAGGCUGUUCUGGGGGCAAAAGGGGUGCAACUCAAUAUAAGAAUCUGUUGAUUUGCUUACAAAAGGGAAGGUGUUGGACGACUCCAGGAGGAAGAGUUGUGCUGUGAAAUGCAACAACACUGGAGGGCCUCAGGAAGUCGAGCAGUGAUACUGGAAGAUCUCACGUUCCAGCUCAGUGAUGAGAUCACUUCAAACUGUGAUUAACUUAAAUGUUUUAAUGUGUGAUUUCUUGAUAACUGCUUUUCAGAGAAAUCUAUAAUCCAUACAUGAAAUAAGAGGUGGCACAACAGCUUCAAAAGUUGUGUGGCAGAAUUUGUACGUCUUUUCUGGGACCUGGAGUUUUUCCUGAUCUUAUGGCCUUGUAAGAUAAAACUUGGGGUCCUAUUCGUGGGCUAUAACAAAAGGUUAUUAUUAUAUUAUAGAUAGCUUCACUUUCAUCUGUGCUAUCACUAUAGGGCUGGGGUAUUUCUUGCCAGGUCAUGUGAAUUGGAAACACUCCUGACCUACGGUGGAACAAACCCUUUCGAACUACCACAAACCUUGCUAUUAUUCAUUCUGAAUCUGAUAUCAAAAGAGCCAAAGACAACUACUUCAAUAGACAACAUACUCUGUAGUUUAGUGAACUACUAUAGCAUGGCUGAGGGUCCUUCUGUGGCUCAGUUGGUAGAGCAUGGCGCUUGUAACGCCAGGGUAGUGGGUUCGAUUCCCGGGACCACCCAUACGUAGAAUGUAUGCACACAUGACUGUAAGUCGCUUUGGAUAAAAGCGUCAGCUAAAUGGCAUAUAUUAUUAUUAUUAUACAAAGAAUCGUUACAAUUUCUUUAAAUAUUGAUUUCUCUAGUCACACACAAUGUUAAGCAGUGGACUAAAAAAUAAAUUUCAAUGUAGAAAGUA